rnacentral:rRNA from 1 species
GACGAACGCUGGCGGCGUGCUUAACACAUGCAAGUCGAACGGAAAGGCCCUGCUUUUGUGGGUUGCUCGAGUGGCGAACGGGUGAGUAACACGUGAGUAACCUGCCCUUGACUUUGGGAUAACUUCAGGAAACUGGGGCUAAUACCGGAUAGGAGCUCCUGCUGCAUGGUGGGGGUUGGAAAGUUUCGGCGGUUGGGGAUGGACUCGCGGCUUAUCAGCUUGUUGGUGGGGUAGUGGCUUACCAAGGCUUUGACGGGUAGCCGGCCUGAGAGGGUGGACGGCCACAUGGGGACUGAGAGACGGACCAGACUCCUACGGGAGGCAGCAGUGGGGAAUAUUGCACAAUGGGCGGAAGCCUGAUGCGGCAACGCCGCGUGCGGGAUGACGGCUUUCGGGUUGUAAACCGCUUUGGAAUGUGACGAAGCGUGAGUGACGGUAAUGGGUAAAGAAGCACCGGCUAACUACGUG